ensembl:lncRNA
CGUGUGAGCGCGUGGUGCGCGCGUAAAUCACAGAGAUGCGGAGAAUGCUGAGAGAAUGUUUCUUUAAGACCCAUUACCUUCCAAUCCGACAGAGGGGGAGUCUGUGGUAAGGUGGCGUAUCGUCUCUCUUCGCGUCCCCCUUCCUCGCCGUUUACAUGUGGAGGAAAAAAAAGAGAGCGAGAGAGACAAAAAGACAGAACGCGCACCGCGGUGAGCUUUUUACUUUACGCUUUUUUUUGUUUUUUUGGGGGGGUGGUGGCACGCACGCCGAGGUAAAGGAUCCGCGGAGAUGAUGGACCUAAGGGAUAUUUAACAUCAAACAUGGACACUACAGGCUCCCCCCCGAUGACUGUGGAGAUACAAGAGACGGCCAGUCGAACACUUUUGGCUACUUAUACUUCUAGUAAUGUAAGCUUUCAAAAUUACAGAUAAAAAUGUUUUUAUUCUUUUGUGAAAGUCUCUACUAUGUUAAUUUAGCUCUUCUAUUGCCCUCACUUCAGUGCUGCAGACAAUAAGACCACUAGCAGACUUAUUUUGACUGGUGCUGAGACCCAUGUGCUAAAUAUGCAUGAUUCACAAAAUGGAUGAUUUUGGUUGAACAAAGAAAUUCUUUAUUGCACUGCCCAGUCUCACUGACUUAAAAAAGCCUGCAAUGGUUCACUAAAUGAGUCCAAACCACUUAAAAGUAUAAAGGCCAGUGUGAGCCCCAGAGUGCUCCAGACAAGACAGUGAAGAAUACUGGAGGAUGGAGAGGCACAUGAGGCGAUAUAAUAAUGCUGAUUGCCUGGAUCCAUACCAUUUUGGCCCACUCUUUGCAGGGCGAGACGGCGGCCUCAUUCAGUGAAAAAACAAAGGUAAUUUAAGUUGUGCAGACGAUUAAAGGAGCAUCACCGGAGUGAGAUCUCAUCUCUGAAUCAUAAUUGCUUGCUUUGUUUUUUAGGGAAAACUCAGAAUGUGAGCAAAUUAAAGUUGUUAUUUUGCUUCAUUCACUAAGAUUAGCUUUUAAACAUUUUAAUGAGUGCUGAAGUCACAGUGUUUACAUUAAGAACAUAAAGUAAUGGCCCGACAUUUUGGGAAAUGCAC